rnacentral:rRNA from 1 species
CCACGCCGUAAACGAUGUCGACUUGGAGGUUGUUCCCUUGAGGAGUGGCUUCCGGAGCUAACGCGUUAAGUCGACCGCCUGGGGAGUACGGCCGCAAGGUUAAAACUCAAAUGAAUUGACGGGGGCCCGCACAAGCGGUGGAGCAUGUGGUUUAAUUCGAUGCAACGCGAAGAACCUUACCUACUCUUGACAUCCAGAGAACUUAGCAGAGAUGCUUUGGUGCCUUCGGGAACUCUGAGACAGGUGCUGCAUGGCUGUCGUCAGCUCGUGUUGUGAAAUGUUGGGUUAAGUCCCGCAACGAGCGCAACCCUUAUCCUUUGUUGCCAGCGAUUCGGUCGGGAACUCAAAGGAGACUGCCGGUGAUAAACCGGAGGAAGGUGGGGAUGACGUCAAGUCAUCAUGGCCCUUACGAGUAGGGCUACACACGUGCUACAAUGGCGCAUACAAAGAGAAGCGACCUCGCGAGAGCAAGCGGACCUCAUAAAGUGCGUCGUAGUCCGGAUCGGAGUCUGCAACUCGACUCCGUGAAGUCGGAAUCGCUAGUAAUCGUGGAUCAGAAUGCCACGGUGAAUACGUUCCCGGGCCUUGUACACACCGCCCGUCACACCAUGGGAGUGGGUUGCAAAAGAAGUAGGUAGCUUAACCUUCGGGAGGGCGCUUACCACUUUGUGAUUCAUGACUGGGGUGAAGUCGUAACAAGGUAACC